rnacentral:rRNA from 1 species
GACAGAGGGUGCAAACGUUGUUCGGAAUUACUGGGCGUAAAGCGCGUGUAGGCGGCCCUGCAAGUCGGACGUGAAAUCCCUCGGCUCAACCGGGGAACUGCGUCCGAUACUGGCGAGGCUUGAAUCCGGGAGAGGGAUGUGGAAUUCCAGGUGUAGCGGUGAAAUGCGUAGAUAUCGAGAGGAACACCUGCGGCGAAGGCGGGUUGCUGGGCCGACACUGACGCUGAUGCGCGAAAGCCAGGGGAGCGAACGGG